rnacentral:rRNA from 1 species
CAGCAGCCGCGGUAAUACGUAGGGUGCGAGCGUUAAUCGGAAUUACUGGGCGUAAAGCGUGCGCAGGCGGUUGUGUAAGACAGGUGUGAAAUCCCCGGGCUUAACCUGGGAACUGCGCUUGUGACUGCACAGCUAGAGUAUGGCAGAGGGGGGUGGAAUUCCACGUGUAGCAGUGAAAUGCGUAGAGAUGUGGAGGAACACCGAUGGCGAAGGCAGCCCCCUGGGCCAAUACUGACGCUCAUGAACGAAAGCGUGGGGAGCAAACAGGAUUAGAUACCCGAGUAGUCCCUGUCUCUUAUAC